rnacentral:rRNA from 1 species
UACAGAGGUCUCAAGCGUUGUUCGGAUUCAUUGGGCGUAAAGGGCGCGUAGGCGGCGGGGUAAGUCGGGUGUGAAAUCUCAGAGCUCAACUCUGAAACUGCACUCGAUACUGCUCUGCUUGAGGACUGGAGAGGAGACUGGAAUUCUCGGUGUAGCGGUGAAAUGCGUAGAUAUCGAGAGGAACACCUGCGGCGAAGGCGGGUUGCUGGGCUGAUACUGACGUGAGGCGCGAAAGCCAGGGGAGCGAACGGGG